CGCGCGUCAGCGCUGUGGCUCCCGCUGGCCUGGCUGCCUGAGUGACCGUCCGCCAGCCGCCCUCGGAGGCCCUCGCUCAGGUGCCCGGGCAGCGUGCUUGUCUCUCGCUCUCCUCACCUCAGGUUCCCGCCCCGAGAGUCGGGACGGAGGACGCAGAGAGGCGGCGAGAGUGGCCAGGAUGCGGCCUGCAGGACUGCGGCGGGCCUGAGGUGAACGGACCGUUGCGGGGCCUUCCCGUCAAGCCCUCAGGCUCCAGCGCAGCGCCCGGGACGCAGACGGAGAUGCUGUUAUUCUGAUACCCUUUUUGCCACCGCUGAGAGCACACUACUCUGCACCUACAUCUUGCAAGGAACAGAAGGAGAUUCCUUGGAAUGAAACCAAUGGGAGAUUAGGGUUUGGGAGAGUCUCAUCAGAGCAGAUGGGCCAGCAGCAGCCAGAAAGCUUGUUGCCUUUGGCUGAGAGCACCAUCCUGGAUCUGAACGUCUUCAGAGACGCCUGUUGGAUCACAGAACAUUGGAAUUGAUGGAGGUUGCAAGUGUCCCUCAGUCACCAAAACCAAGUAUGAUCCUUCCUUUAUCGUACUUACCUUGGCAUUAAUGACACCCUCAUUUACAUGACUGAUUACAGUUCAUCUUUUCCUCUUUUCCACUGCCACCAAUAGACUUGAAAUUCCAUGAGAACAUGGACGACGUCUGUCUAGAUUCACCAUCAUAUCUCUAGGACCAAGCCUGGUAACGUAGUAGGUGCUCAAAAAGUAUUUGUUGAAGGAAUGGAUGAAUGAAUAU